UGCCUUACAUUUACUAUCUGCGGUUCAGUAGUUCAAUGUUGAUCAUUUGGUACAGAUUGGUGCUAAUCAUUUACUGGAAUAUCUAGUUUAUGCAAAGAUGAUUUAAUGAAUAGCUUGUUGAUCAUUUGUUUGAACUGGAUGGAGCAUCUAAAAAAACUUGACCAGCAUUGGAGGAACUAGGUGGCAAUGUCAUUGUAAAUGAGAAGAAAAAGGCUUCCAAACUCGAGAUGAAGAGGACGAACUUGGACCAUGGAGGUCUUCACCAGCAGCCCCUACCAACUUAGUUACACCCAGUUCCUGAUGGAGCGUGUAAAAGACGAAAGAUAAACUUAUUUGUGUAUUUAUUUGUUCAACAAAAGAGUGGUCAUAAAUACAAUCUUUGCACAGUGUGCUGAUAUUUUUAA